ensembl:lncRNA
GUGUGUGUGUGUGUGUGUGUGUGUGUGUGUGUGUGUUGAAUUUAUUUAAACUACAUUGAAAGACACACAGUUAAAUAAACAGUCUCUCCCAGUUCAUCUUUUUCUUCCACUAACUCAUUUCAGGUUUCCAGCAUGUGGUUUAUUUAACUUUCAUGCCUCAUCUUUCCUGAGCUUCCUAAAGAAGACUGACAGACAGAAUGAGUUUGUGUGUGUGUGUGUGUGUGUGUGUGUGUGUGUGUGUGUGUGUGUGUAACUUUGAGUGGUCAAAACUUUGACCAUAGGUAAAGCCAUGUUAGGAAGUUUUGGAUUUAUUUGUAGGUUUAUGUGCUUUUGGUGUUAAACAGUAUUCAUUAUGGGCUGAAGUCUUUUUACCCAGAAUCCCACACACACCCUUCUGGUUUCAAGGUCUUGAUACACAGUAUUACACAAGGGUGGAUAAAUCAUUAGCCCAGACGCCUGGGAAAAGCAGAUUACACAUCUGGGUGGUCAGUUUUUUUAUUUUUUUUAUUUUUUCCCCCUUGCUCGGUGGCUAGGUGACUCAGUAGACUGAUGGUCUCCAGGAUUUUAUUAUUUUUUUCUUUCAGAGAAGUUUACCAGUCUCUCUAGCAGGCCAUUUGAUACCCUUUUGAAAGCAACACACUCAAACAGAUGAAUGAACUGGUGUCAUGAUUAACAUGUAAACGUCAGAAAGAUGUCGAUCCUGCUUGUUGUUGAUGAAUGACAAUGGGGAAGUUUUACAACGCGAAUACGUAGUCACGUCGCUGGGAAUUGACUCAUCAGUGGCCCGGUGUGCAGUGAGCCAGGACUUUACCAGUGCCCCAACUCGUGUACGCGAUAUACUGAUUCACCACCUAGGGAGUGAGGGAGCUGAUUGAGACACAGCUUUAAUCUUGCUAGCUUUACACCUGACCAUGCGCGUCUGCCCGCAUGAAAACACAAAACCCCGGGAUCCCAGUCCUGAUACAUAUCUGUAUCUGAAUACAGAGACUGUAGAUACUUGGAGUCAAAACCCCAGCGCCUGCUGCACAACAAACACCAACUGGGAAUUAGUCAGGUCAGUUAUAUUAAUACCAGUCUAUAUUACUGACUUUACGAACUAGCGAACUUGCUUAUUAUGCCUGGAGUAAGUUAAUGUAGCUACCAUUUUUAGCCUAGUUUAUGUCGCUAGUCUUUUAUUUUGUGAUAAUAGCAGCACAUAGCAGUGUAUUAUAACACAUAGCAGUGUAUUAUAACAGUGAUAAUAGCAGCACAUAGCAGUGUAUUAUAACACAUAGCAGUGUAUUAUAACAGUGAUAAUAGCAGCACAUAGCAGUGUAUUAUAACAGUGAUAAUAGCAGCACAUAGCAGUGUAUUAUAACACAUAGCAGUGUAUUAUAACACAUAGCAGUGUAUUAUAACACAUAGCAGUUGUAUAUAACACAUAGCAGUGUAUUAUAACAGUGAUAAUAGCAGCACAUAGCAGUGUAUUAUAACAGUGAUAAUAGCAGCACAUAGCAGUGUAUUAUAACAGUG